rnacentral:rRNA from 1 species
UUAACCCUAACCACCGAUACUUAUAACACAAAUGUAUCCGCCAGAGAACUACAAGUGAAAAACUUAAAACUCAAAGGAUUUGGCGGUUCUCCACCCAAACUAGAGGAGCCUGUCCUAUAAUCGAUACCCCACGAUAAACCUAACCACCCCUUGCCAACCAGCCUAUAUACCGCCGUCGCCAGCUUAUUCCGUGAGAAUUUUAAAAAUAAGCACAGUAGUCUAACCACUAAAACGUCAGGUCAAGGCGUAGCUUAUGAGGUGGUAGUGAUGAGCUACACUCUCUAACAAGAAAAAACGAAUGACACCAUGAAAUGGCANCCUGAAGGCGGAUUUAGCAGUAAACUAAGAAAGAAUAC